rnacentral:rRNA from 1 species
AGAGUUUGAUCCUGGCUCAGGAUGAACGCUAGCGACAGGCUUAACACAUGCAAGUCGAGGGGCAGCACAGGUAGCAAUACCGGGUGGCGACCGGCGCACGGGUGAGUAACGCGUAUGCAACUUACCUAUCAGAGGGGGAUAACCCGGCGAAAGUCGGACUAAUACCGCAUGAAGCAGGGGCCCCGCAUGGGGAUAUUUGCUAAAGAUUCAUCGCUGAUAGAUAGGCAUGCGUUCCAUUAGGCAGUUGGCGGGGUAACGGCCCACCAAACCGACGAUGGAUAGGGGUUCUGAGAGGAAGGUCCCCCACAUUGGUACUGAGACACGGACCAAACUCCUACGGGAGGCAGCAGUGAGGAAUAUUGGUCAAUGGCCGAGAGGCUGAACCAGCCAAGUCGCGUGAGGGAUGAAGGUUCUAUGGAUCGUAAACCUCUUUUAUAAGGGAAUAAAGUGCGGGACGUGUCCCGUUUUGUAUGUACCUUAUGAAUAAGGAUCGGCUAACUCCGUGCCAGCAGCCGCGGUAAUACGGAGGAUCCGAGCGUUAUCCGGAUUUAUUGGGUUUAAAGGGUGCGUAGGCGGCCUUUUAAGUCAGCGGUGAAAGUCUGUGGCUCAACCAUAGAAUUGCCGUUGAAACUGGGGGGCUUGAGUAUGUUUGAGGCAGGCGGAAUGCGUGGUGUAGCGGUGAAAUGCAUAGAUAUCACGCAGAACCCCGAUUGCGAAGGCAGCCUGCCAAGCCAUGACUGACGCUGAUGCACGAAAGCGUGGGGAUCAAACAGGAUUAGAUACCCUGGUAGUCCACGCAGUAAACGAUGAUCACUAGCUGUUUGCGAUACACUGUAAGCGGCACAGCGAAAGCGUUAAGUGAUCCACCUGGGGAGUACGCCGGCAACGGUGAAACUCAAAGGAAUUGACGGGGGCCCG